rnacentral:rRNA from 1 species
UCCGCCCUGGGUUAGUCGGGACCUAAGCUGAGGCCGAAAGGCGUAGGUGAUGGACAACAGGUUGAUAUUCCUGUACUACCGAUAACCGUUUGAGAGAUGGGAUGACACAGUAGGAUAAGCUAAGCACACUGUUGGUUAUGUGUGCCCAAGCAUUGAGGCAGUCAAAGUAGGUAAAUCCGCUUUGAUAAUGCUGGGAUGUGAUGGGGAGCGAAAUUUAGUAGCGAAGUAGCUGAUUUCACACUGUCAAGAAAAGUCUCUAUCGAGGUUAAA